CAUACACACAUACACACACAAAGAUCCCCCGUAUAGCCUUAACAGACUGUAGGGGCAAGUGCUGUUAGCGAGCACCUAUGAAGGCCAGAACGGUACACGAGGGGGUUGGGUGGCCAGCACCACGCCCGACCGCCUUUGUCUCCCCAGUGGCGAUGUUUACACACCGCACCAGGUACUCAUUUAAGGCUGAGUCGACCUAGGGGAGGCCCAAGACCGGUUCAGAUAAUCGUUACUGGUGUUAGCCGUGAGCGGGAAUCGAACUCGGGUCGCCAGGUUCAUAGCGCAGCGCGCUAACCACUACACCACCGCUCCCCACAACACACACACUCACUUACACACAUACACACACUCUCACUUACACACAUACACACACUCUCACUUACACACAUACACACACACUCUCACUUACACACACUCUCACUCACACACACAUACACACACUCUCACUUACACACACUCUCACACACACAUACACACACUCUCACACAUACACACACACUCACUUACACACUCUCACUGAAACAUACAAAGAUCCCCCGUAUAGCCUGAACAGACUGUAGGGGCAAGUGCUGUUAGCGAGCACCUAUGAAGGCCGGAACGGUACACGAGGGGGUGGGUGGCCAGCACCACGCCCGACCGCCUUUGUCUCCCUAGUGGCGAUGUUUACACACCGCACCAGGUACUCAUUUAAGGCUGAGUCGACCUAGGGGAGGCCCAGGACCGGUUCAGAUAAUCGUCACUGGUGUUAGCCGUGAGCGGGAAUCGAACCCGGGUCGCCAGGUUCAUAGCGCAGCGCGCUAACCGCUACACUACCGCUCCCCACCACUGAAACAUACACAACAACAACAACCGCCAUUCGCCACUAAGUGGCGGUGACGUCACCACGACGCUUGUGCCAGGCCAAGUGCACCUUGAGGCCACGUGAAGUGUCGAACGCCCGCUGACAGGAGGUCACGGGGCAGACCCAGGUGCCACGGGUCGACUGACUGAGAUGUCCGAGAUGACUGGCUGAUGCACCACCUGUGCCCUCUACUGUACCAACUCGCUGUGCUUUAGCCACCCGGCGCUCCGCUCGUUGUUGUGAGCGUCGCUCCUCCGCCCUCCGUUGUUGUUGGAGGGCAACUGCCUCCAACUGCCCAGUAGCGUCCUUCACGAGCCUCCUCCACAGAGGCCGAUCUUGACACCGCUGGUACCAGUCAUCGGCAAGUCCACUCAGCUCCACGUCCUCCUGUACCACAUCACUCCAUCUCUUCUCCAGCCCGUGCCGCGCCCGUUUAGCCCCCUCGAUCCGGCCGAACAAAAGCUGUUUAGGCAUGCGGUGGCUGGGCAUGCGGGCUACAUGACCCAGCCAACGCAACCUUGCCUGCCGGAGAAGCUCACCGAUUGGACUGUGACCAGAUCUUUCGGAAUCUGAGCUUCUCACACAAUCCAGCCAGAUUAACCCCGGGAUGUAACGUAGGUAGGCCCUCCUGAAUGUCUGUAACCGGCGCUGAUGUUCCAUUAGAGGGGUCCACGUUUCGCAAGCAUAGAUAAGUGAAGGGCAUAUAUGACUGUGGCCGAGAAGACCCGGAGCUUUGUUUGGAGCGACAGGCCAGCUAGCUUCAACAUAGCAGCGUUUCGUAGCCGGUAAAACAAAAAUGCCGCUCGACUGAUUCGGAGCGAGACAUCCGCUGCCAAACCGGAGAUGAUGUCAGGGGAACUCCUUUCACUCCACAACUGCCCCAUCACUCCUCGAAAGUUGAGCGAGUGUGGAAUGUUUUGAUGACACAAAGUACCCAGGGUCACACUGGUUCCGGACAGAGUUGGGACUGGACGGGCGCGGAGAAGUAUGGCUCAAACGAACACCACGACGACAUGGCAGGGGGGCCUUCAUCCAGCAGUGGAUUGGCAAAGAGUGGCCGUACUGAGACAUCACCGCACCACGGCAGGAGACAUCACCGCACCACGGCAGGAGACAUCACCGCACCACGGCAGGAGACAUCACCGCACCACGGCAGGAGACAUCACCGCACCACGGCAGGAGACAUCACCGCACCACGGCAGG